GGACCUGCUCUGACCAGCCUCCCAGGUCCUGCUUCUCUCAUCAAAUCAAAAGCCUAGUGCCAGCGAACAGUUCCGACUGCAGCGACCCCAGACUGACUAGGCCUGCCCGCGGGAUUUCCUCGCUCGCGGUCUCCAUGGAAGCCACGACUUUCUCAGCCGGAGUGACUGUCAGGGGCUUAUACCAUCUGUUUCUGGCGACAUAUGCUGUUGGACAACUGGAUUUCUUAACCAAGCAGUGAAGACGACAGCUGCCUAAAACCAGCAUCCAUUGUGUCAUC